CAGCCCUUGACAUCCCGGUCGCGGAUUUCAGAGAUGAAAUCCUUCAGUUCGGCUGGACCGGUGACAGGUGCUGCAUGGCUGUCGUCAGCUCGUGUCGUGAGAUGUUGGGUUAAGUCCCGCAACGAGCGCAACCCUCGCCCUUAGUUGCCAUCAUUUAGUUGGGCACUCUAGGGGGACUGCCGGUGAUAAGCCGGAGGAAGGUGGGGUUGACGUCAAGUCUUCAUGGCCCUUACGGGCUGGGCUACACACGUGCUACAAUGGCGGUGACAGAGGGUUGCUACACAGCGAUGUGAUGCUAAUCCCUAAAAGCCGUCUCAGUUCGGAUUGCACUCUGCAACUCGGGUGCA
rnacentral:rRNA from 1 species